UUUGAGGUUUGAAAAACUUUAAAGUGUAGGAUAAAUGUGUUUGUAGUGUGAAAAUGUGAGUGAUGUGAGUUUAAAUAGACAAUUUUAGCAAUGAUGACAAGAGGUGUACGCAGACAUGGGGGGAAAUGUAAAUGUUUAGACCUAAUUCCAAGAAUUGUUAAACCCAAUGUGUCACGCUUUAAUCACGCAUGCUCGGAAAGUGGGACAAUUGCCUCCACUAAGAAUCACACGAAAUCAAACGACAAGACAACCAUUAAAU
rnacentral:lncRNA from 1 species